rnacentral:rRNA from 1 species
AAUUGCUUCCAAGGCCAAUAUCUGUUUUUUGUUUGAGAGGCCCUUCCACCCCCAUGGAAUUGGCCCAGGUCCAUAUAUCUUAGGGAGGGCAGCAGGGUGGAAUUCUCCCGAAGGGGGGAAACCCCGGAGGGAAAAAUCCCGGGGGGAGGAAGGCCGCCUUGUGGGUUGAUAACCUUUUUUUCUCGAGGAAGAAACUCAAUGGCCUUCCCUGGAGAAUAAGCUUGGGAUAAUUCCGUCCCAGCAGCCGCGGUAAGACGGAGGAUCCAAGUUUUAUCCGGAAUCACUGGGCGUAAAGCGUCUGUAGGUGGCUUAACAAGUCAACUGUUAAAUCUUGAAGCUCAACUUCGAAAUCGCAGUCGAAACUGUUAGGCUAGAGUAUAGUAGGGGUAAAGGGAAUUUCCAGUGGAGCGGUGAAAUGCGUAGAGAUUGGAAAGAACACCGAUGGCGAAGGCACUUUACUGGGCUAUUACUGACACUCAGAGACGAAAGCUAGGGUAGCAAAUGGGAUUAGAUACCCCAGUAGUCCUAGCCGUAAACAAUGGAUACUAGAUGUUGGGCAGAUCGACCUGUUCAGUAUUAAAGCUAACGCGUUAAGUAUCCCGCCUGGGAAGUAUGCGCGCAAGCGUGAAACUCAAAGGAAUUGACGGGGGCCCGCACAAGCGGUGGAGCAUGUGGUUUAAUUCGAUGCAACGCGAAGAACCUUACCAGGGUUUGACAUGAUACGAAUUUUUUUGAAAGAAAAAAGUGCCGUUUGGAACGUAUACACAGGUGGUGCAUGGCUGUCGUCAGCUCGUGUCGUGAGAUGUUGGGUUAAGUCCCGCAACGAGCGCAACCCUUAUUUUUAGUUGCCUUUAUGGAACUCUAGAAAGACUGCUGGUUAUAAACCGGAGGAAGGCGGGGAUGACGUCAAGUCAGCAUGCCCCUUACACCCUGGGCUACACACGUGCUACAUUGGGCGAGACAAUGAGAUGCAACUCUGCGAAGAUUAGCUAAUCUAUAAACUCGUUCUAAGUUCGGAUUGUAGGCUGCAACUCGCCUGCAUGAAGGUGGAAUCGCUAGUAAUCGCUGGUCAGCUACACAGCGGUGAAUUCGUUCCCGGGCCUUGUACACACCGCCCGUCACACCAUGGAAGCUGGUUAUGCCCGAAGUCAUUACUCUAACCAUUCGGAGGAGGGUGCCUAAGGUAGAAUUAGUGACUGGGGUGAAGUCGUAACAAGGUAACCGUA